rfam:Triticum aestivum genome assembly, contig: Triticum_aestivum_CS42_TGACv1_scaffold_623046_7DS
GGGCGUUUGGUCUAGUGGUAUGAUUCUCGCUUUGGGUGCGAGAGGUCGCGAGUUCGAUUCUUGCAACGCCCC